rnacentral:lncRNA from 1 species
GACUGGGUGUUCCUGACAAGAUUUUGUUUCCUCUCGGAUUACGGCCGACUGGACUUCCGUUUCCGCUACCCUGAGGCCAAGUGCUGUCAGAACAUCCUCCUCUAUUUUGAUGACCCAUCCCAGUGGCCAGCCGUGUACAAGGCAGGGGACAAGGACUGCCUGGCCAAGGAGUCAGUGAUCCGGCCGGAGAACAACCAGGUCAUCAACCUCACCACCCAGUAUGCCUGGUCCGGCUGUCAGGUGGUAUCAGAGGAGGGAACCCGCUACCUGAGCUGCUCCAGUGGCCGCAGCUUCCGCUCAGUGCGUGAACGGUGGUGGUAUAUUGCGCUCAGCAAGUGUGGGGGUGAUGGAU